rnacentral:rRNA from 1 species
GACGAACGCUGGCGGCGUGCUUAAUACAUGCCAGUCGAACGGAAAGGCGAUGCGCUUGCGGGGUGCACGUUUGGCGAACGCGGGUGUAAAACGCGUGUAACCCCUCCUUGUCUUUCGGAUAUCUCCUCGAAACUCGGGCUCUUAUACCAUAGGAUCUCCUGCUGCACGGGGGGGGAUGGAAAGUUUCGGCGUUUCAGGCUAGACUCGCGGCUUACCCGCUGGAUGGGGUAGUUGUGGCUUACCAAGGCUAUGAAGGGUAGCCGGCCUGGGAGGGUGACCGGCCACAUUGGGACUGGGGUACGGCCCAGACUCCUACGGGAGGCAGCAGUGGGGAAUAUUGCACAAUGGGCGGAGGCCUGAUGCAGCAACGCCGCGUGCGGGAUGACGGCCUUCGGGUUGUAAACCGCUUUCGCCUGUGACGAAGCGUGAGUGACGGUAAUGGGUAAAGAAGCACCGGCUAACUACGU